rnacentral:rRNA from 1 species
GACGAACGCUGGCGGCGUGCUUAACACAUGCAAGUCGAGCGGUAAGGCCCUUUCGGGGGUACACGAGCGGCGAACGGGUGAGUAACACGUGGGUGACCUGCCCUCAGCUCUGGGAUAAGCCUGGGAAACCGGGUCUAAUACCGGAUAUGACUCCAUGACGCAUGUUGUGGGGUGGAAAGCCUUGUGCGGCUGAGGAUGGGCCCGCGGCCUAUCAGCUUGUGGUGGGNGAUGGCCUACCAAGGCGACGACGGUAGCCGGCCUGAGAGAGCGACCGGCCACACUGGGACUGAGACACGGCCCAGACUCC